GGGCCAUUAGCUCAGCUGGUAGAGCAACGGACUUUUAAUCCGUGGGUCGGAGGUUCGAAUCCUCCAUGGCUCACCA
rnacentral:tRNA from 1 species